rnacentral:rRNA from 1 species
UACGUAGGGAGCAAGCGUUGUCCGGAUUUAUUGGGCGUAAAGAGCUCGUAGGCGGUUCUGUAAGUCGGGUGUGAAAACUUCAGGCUCAACCUGGAGAUGCCACUCGAUACUGCGGUGACUUGAGUCUGGUAGGGGAGCACGGAAUUCCUGGUGUAGCGGUGAAAUGCACAGAUAUCAGGAGGAGCACCGGUGGGCGAAGGCGGGUCUCUGGGCCGAUACUGACGCUGGAGGAGCGAAAGCGUGGGGAGCGAACAGG